UAUAUACUCCCUCUGUCCGGAAUUACUUGUCACACAAAUGAAUAAAAAUGGAUGUAUCUAGAAUUAAAAUACAUCUAGAUACAUCCAUUCCUAUGACAAGUANNNCCGGACGGAGGGAGUAUUAU
rnacentral:pre_miRNA from 1 species